ACCAGGCGUGGUGGUACAUGCCGUGCCAGUAGUCCCACCUACUUGGGAGGCUGAGGCUGGAGGAUCUCUUGAGUCCAGUUCUGGGCUGUAGUGCGCUAUGCUGAUCGGGUGUCCGCACUAAGUUCAGCAUCAAUAUGGUGACCUCCCAGGAGCGGGGGACCACCAGGUUGCCUAAGGAGGGGUGAACUGGCCCAGGUCGGAAACGGAAUAGGUCAAAACUCCUGUGCUGAUCAGUAGUGGUAUCGCACCUGUGAAUAGCCACUGCACUCCAGCCUGGGCAACAUAGUGAGACCCUGUCUUA
rnacentral:SRP_RNA from 1 species